UCUGGAGACUGAGGCAGCAGUGGGGAAUCUUCCGCAAUGGACGAAAGUCUGACGGAGCAACGCCGCGUGAGUGAUGAAGGUCUUCGGAUUGUAAAGCUCUGUUAAUCGGGACGAAAGAUCUUUGUGUGAAUAAUACAGAGAAGUGACGGUACCGGAAUAGAAAGCCACGGCUAACUACGUGCCAGCAGCCGCGGUAAUACGUAGGUGGCAAGCGUUGUCCGGAAUUAUUGGGCGUAAAGCGCGCGCAGGCGGCCUAUCCAGUCUGUCUUAAAAGUUCGGGGCUCAACCCCGUGAUGGGUUGGAGACUAGUAGGCUAGAGUAUCGGAGAGGAAAGCGGAAUUCCUAGUGUAGCGGUGAAAUGCGUAGAUAUUAGGAAGAACACCAGUGGCGAAGGCGGCUUUCUGGACGAAAACUGACGCUGAGGCGCGAAAGCCAGGGGAGCGAACGGGAUUAGAUACCCCGGUAGUCCAGAAGUG
rnacentral:rRNA from 1 species